AUUAAUAGGGGGUUGUAACACAAUACAAGCCAAGUGGCAGGUGUCAGGAAAAGUCCAUUACCAUCGCUCUUGUCUUUUGCCAAAGGACGGUUCUACCUUUGCUAAAAGUGCAUUUCUACCUGAGCAGGAAACAAGGCUGGAAAAGCCUAAUACUGAGAAACAAAAUUAACUCUCUGAAGAACAGAACCAGGUACAUGCAGACACUCAUGUGGAUUCUCUCACCUCUUUUCCCCCACAUCCCCCACCUGACUGCGUGUUGCUUUGGCCUCUCUCCAGCUGCAGCAGAAGGAACAAAGGACUCCCAAGUGGUUCUGGACUGCCUGGAAAAGCAAGAAAAUAUCAUCCUGAGAAGAGCAUGAGCAAGCUAGUGAUAUUCUGAAUAGAAUGACCCUGACCUUGAAUCUGGGACGUUAAAGCCUGAAAAAGGCUCCCAUUGCUCAGAAUGCAGGAGCAUCAGUACCUGGAAAGGCAAACAGGACUUCUGUUUGGAUAACACUGUGUAUAACUCUCUUUCCUGUGUUGAAAAGAAAGGAUUUAAUGAACACUAACAAGUGGCAAAGCCAAUGAAUUGAAAGUGAAGAUAAAGUUAACCUUGACCACCAAAGCAUGCCCUGAUUUGAGAAUGAAUCCAUCAGAAGACAUCUUACAAAGAGAGCAUCAAACCAAACACUUUAUUUUCAAGGUUGACUACCAAAUACUUGGCAAAUGAAGUAGUUUCAUUGAUUAGAUGUUCCUCUCUACAACAAUUUGUACAGACCUGGCAAAUCAUUAAGUGAUUUCUGUGAGUAAAAAUAAUGAAUGUGUUGUAAAGACUCCUCAAAAUGAACCUGUGACAAUGAUUUAAUAAACAGACAUCUAAAUCCUAGUGUUUUGAAAUA
rnacentral:lncRNA from 1 species